UACGUAGGUGACCAGCGUUGUCCGGAUUUACUGGGCGUAAAGAGCGCGCAGGCGGUCGUUCAAGUCGAGUGUGAAAGCCCCCGGCUCAACUGGGGAGGGUCAUUCGAUACUGAUCGACUCGAAGGCAGGAGAGGGAAGUGGAAUUCCCGGUGUAGUGGUGAAAUUCGUAGAUAUCGGGAGGAACACCAGUGGCGAAGGCGGCGAUCUGGGAAGAUACUGACGCUGAGGUGCGAAAGCGUGGGGAGCAAACAGG
rnacentral:rRNA from 1 species